UGGGGAAUCUUGCACAAUGGGCGCAAGCCUGAUGCAGCAACGCCGCGUGCGGGAAGACGGCCCUAGGGUUGUAAACCGCUUUCAGGAGGGAAGAAAAUGACGGUACCUCCAGAAGAAGGUGCGGCCAACUACGUGCCAGCAGCCGCGUGACACGUAGGCACCAAGCGUUAUCCGGAUUUAUUGGGCGUAAAGAGCUCGUAGGCGGUUCGGUAAGUCGGGUGUGAAAACUCUGGGCUCAACCCAGAGAGGCCACUCGAUACUGCUGUGACUAGAGUGCGGUAGGGGAGCGGGGAAUUCCUGGUGUAGCGGUGAAAUGCGCAGAUAUCAGGAGGAACACCGGUGGCGAAGGCGGGUCUCUGGGCCGGAACUGACGCUGAGGAGCGAAAGCGUGGGGAGCGAACAGGAUU
rnacentral:rRNA from 1 species